GUGCAGCAGGCGCGAAAACUUUACAAUGUGCGAAAGCACGAUAAGGGAACUCUGAGUGCCUCCUAAGGAGGCUGUUCAGGUGUCUAAAAAGCACCUGGAGUAAGGGCUGGGUAAGACCGGUGCCAGCCGCCGCGGUAACACCGGCAGCCCAGGUGGUAGCCACUUUUAUUGGGUCUAAAGCGUCCGUAGCCGGUUGAGUAAGUUCCUUGGGAAAUUUGGCUGCUCAACAGUCAAGCUUCCAGGGAAUACUGCUCGACUUGGGGACUGGGAGAGGUCAGAGGUACUCCAGGGGUAGGGGUGAAAUCCAUUAAUCCCUGGGGGACCACCGGUAGCGAAGGCGUCUGACCAGACCAGGUCCGACGGUGAGGGACGAAGGCUAGGGUCGCGAACCGGAUUAGAUACCCCCGUAGU
rnacentral:rRNA from 1 species